rnacentral:rRNA from 1 species
UUGAUGGCAGUGUAUUGGACUACCAUGGCAGUCACGGGUAACGGAGAAUUAGGGUUCGAUUCCGGAGAGGGAGCCUGAGAAACGGCUACCACAUCUACGGAAGGCAGCAGGCGCGCAAAUUGCCCAAUCCUGACACGGGGAGGCAGUGACAAGAAAUAACAACUCUUGGAUUUCUAAGAAGUGUAAUGAGGAUAAUUUACAACCCUUACCGAAAGCAAUUGGAGGGCAAGUCUGGUGCCAGCAGCCGCGGUAAUUCCAGCUCCAAUAGCGUAUAUUAAAGUUGUUGCAGUUAAAAAGCUCGUAGUUGAAGUUCUGAUUGUUCGGGCCUCGCGCUUUAUAGCCGAGGAAUCGACAGUCAUCCGCUUGCAAAUAUAUGUUCGCCUUUAACCGGGUGGCUAUAUGAGUAAGCAAUUUACCUUGAGAAAAACAGAGUGUUCCAGGCAGGUUUGUCCGGAAUGCAUUAGCAUGGAAUAAUAGAAUAUGACUGAAGUCAAUUUAUUGGUUUAAGGCUUUAGUAAUGAUUAAUAGGAACAGUCGGGGGCAUUGGUACUUAACAGUCAGAGGUGAAAUUCUAGGAUUUGUUAAAGACUAACAAAUGCGAAAGCAUUUGCCAAGGAUGUUUUCAUUAAUCAAGAACGAAAGUUAGGGGAUCAAAGACGAUCAGAUACCGUC